CACGAACGCUGGCGGCAGGCUUAACACAUGCAAGUCGAGCGCCCCGCAAGGGGAGCGGCAGACGGGUGAGUAACGCGUGGGAAUCUACCCAUCUCUACGGAAUAACGCAUGGAAACGUGUGCUAAUACCGUAUACGUCCUUCGGGAGAAAGAUUUAUCGGAGAUGGAUGAGCCCGCGUUGGAUUAGCUAGUUGGUGGGUAAAGGCCUACCAAGGGGACGAUCCAUAUCUGGUCUGUGAGGAUGCUCAGCCACACUGGGACUGAGACACGGCCCAGACUCCAACGGGCGGCAGCAGUGGGGAAUAUUGGACAAUGGGCGCAUGCCUGAUCCAGCCAUGCCGCGUGAGUGAUGAAGGCCCUAGGGUUGUAAAGCUCUUUCACCGGUGAAGAUAAUGGCGGUAACCGGAGAAGAAGCCCCGGCUAACUUCGUGCCAGCCGCCGCAGUAAUAC
rnacentral:rRNA from 1 species